rnacentral:rRNA from 1 species
UACGGAGGGUGCAAGCGUUGUUCGGAAUUAUUGGGCGUAAAGGGCGCGUAGGCGGUUGUGAUAGUCAGAUGUGAAAUCCUCCGGCUUAACUUGGAGAACUGCAUCUGAAACUUCAUAGCUAGAGUACAGGAGAGGGAAACGGAAUUCCCGGUGUAGAGGUGGAAUUCGUAGAUAUCGGGAGGAACACCAGUGGCGAAGGCGGUUUCCUGGCCUGAUACUGACGCUGAGGCGCGAAAGCGUGGGGAGCAAACAGGAUUAGAUACCCUGGUAGU